rnacentral:lncRNA from 1 species
GUCACUUUCUCUUCAACAAAACCAGUUGUGAGAGCCUUUCAAAAAAAUCCGAAUUCUGUCACUUUUCCUUCCCCCAUCUUUGUAGCCCUCUUUCCAUCAAAUUAAAAGAAAACACAUAUAAGAGAAAUGGCGAGAUUCAAAAGGCAAAAUGAGCGAAAAACGGAAAAAUAAAGUGUUUGAAGGCUAUUCAAAUUUUCACUCUUUUGCUUCAAUUUUUUUGCUGGAACUUCGUCUGAUUUUCUGUCAAUUAGAGUGGUUUUCGGUCGUUGUUCAACUAUUUCGAUUGUCAUAUCGAUUCUGUGAUUGAUUCACUAAUACAAAGGUUCCUCUCUUUUCGUAGUUUGUUUUCUCAUUAUUGUUCUGGGUCACUAUGUGUUCGUUUGGUUUUUUGGUAUAAUAUGAUCGAGUUUUCAUCUGAGUGCGUUGAGAUUGAUUUGUUCUCCUGUUGAAUAUGUUUCAAGAUUAGUCUACCGUUCCCUUUUGCAUCUAUAUGCUCGAUUUGAACUCUUAAUUGUUAUUAAUUACAUCGAAUGAAUUAUCUAAGGGAAUGAUUUCACGUGGAUUGUUCUGUUUUCCCGGCAAGCCGAUGGUAAUGGUAGAUACGGUGAGUGUUUAAUUCCAUUAGUCCGUUAGAUAUAAUACCAUUGUAUCAGUGUUGAUUUUCUCAGCUAAUUUGGGUUAUUGUCAAUCUGCAUCUUCGUGUUGGUUUGAUAAAGAGUAAUUUUAUUAUCUUUGAUUGUUGGAUUGUUAUUGCUCAAUAAAUGAAUAAGUCUGGGUGAUUGUUUGCUUCAAAUAGCCAAGUCACAGUAUGAACAAAAGUUGGUUUACUCAAAGGCCGUCUCUAAUGUCGGUGAUUUAGUUAGGAAUUGUUGGAAAUUGUUCAAUGUUCUUGGAAAUGAUUUUAUUAAUUGUCACUGGGAACAUGAAAUACAGUGCUUUGUAUUGGAUUUUUGAAGAAUUCAGUUACGCUUUGCUUUAGAGUUGGGAUUAGCAUGACAGAUUUGCUAACUUUUACCAAUGGUUUUGGAUUGAAGAAGUCUAAUUUUCAUGCUUCAUUGAUGUAGUAAAUUGUGAGCAUCUCAAAAUGGAGGAUACAUGAAUACCAGUAAGUGAUACCAAAUCACUACUGUGAUGAAUGCAUUUUUGUGAUAUUUGUUUUUUCUUUCUAAUAUUAAAAUAUGUGAAGGAGCUUGUGACCAUGUUUGCAAAGUUUAUUUUUAGAAUCUGCAAAAUUGGGAUGCUAGUGCUUUACUCUCGUGCUAGACUUUGUAUUGGCCAUUUUGGAGAUUAAUAAUGAUUAAGUCGAGCAUUAGUUCUAGUUCAGAUUAGAUUAUGAGAACAAAAUCAGACUUAGAAAGAAAUAAACGCGAACACUUUUAGUUUGAUUUAGUAGAGUG